UACAGAGGAGCCAAGCGUUGUCCGGAAUUACUGGGCGUAAAGCGCACGUAGGCGGAUUUGUAAGUCAGGGGUGAAAUCCCGAGGCUCAACCUCGGAACUGCCUUUGAUACUGCAAAUCUCGAGUCCGGAAGAGGUGAGUGGAAUUCCUAGUGUAGAGGUGAAAUUCGUAGAUAUUAGGAAGAACACCAGUGGCGAAGGCGGCUCACUGGUCCGGUACUGACGCCGAUG
rnacentral:rRNA from 1 species